rnacentral:lncRNA from 12 species
CUUAAAUGAAAACGUGUAUUUUCCUUUUGAGCCAUCACGUUAUUUAUACACAUUUAAUGAACACACACCUCAGACGAUUGAAUUACUGUACUAUUAGAAAGCAAAAGCGUGAAUGAGUAGAGAAGAAGACAGGAGGAAAGCAGAGUGGAGGAUGAUAGAGAAGAUGAUGGGAAGCAGCGGAUGGAAGAAGGAGAGCAGGCAGCGGAAGUCGGCGGGUCGCUGCUGGUUGGUUCGGCGCCGGUGGAGGGAGUCAUUCCUGCAGCAGUGCUUCCGGUCGGCAUUUUGUUCUGCGAGAGAGAGAGUCUGUGUGGAUUCUUUUAUGAGCGCCCAGGAGCCUUUCGGCACCGAAUCCUUUCUGCCGUCGUCCGGAGUAAAGUGCGAGCUUCCGCGGACGCCUGCGCGAAGAAUGACCGUCGCCCGUCCGUCUUCAUGUUUGCAGUGAGAGGAAGCGGUGCGACCCGGAUUAUUGUUGUGAGAGGGACACAGCGAGCCCGAACCCCUCCACCUUCACCUUUCAACAACAGAGCCUCAGCAAAAGAUGUAAAGGUGGAUCAGUGAGCAGCGACACUGAGCGACCUGUGCAUCCACGCGAGCUCCCUGCCCUUCUUCAGCAUGAAUGGGGAUAUGCCUCAUGUUCCUAUCACCACUCUCGCUGGGAUCGCAAGCCUCACUGACCGUAAGUUGCACAAGUGCUUGGUACCUGAACUUGUAUAACAAACCUUCCUUAACAGAUUAUUUAUGCAUUGCAUGCUGUGUCUCUUAAAGAUGCUUUUAGAUAUGUAAUGUUAAUUAUUUAAUAAUUAUGACUUAUAACUCUUAUAACUGAAAUUAUUAGAUAAUAGGAGUGUUAUCAGGAUGGAGUUCAUAGUGUUCAGUGUUGGCCACCAUAAGAGGGAGACCAUCUUUAUGUAGAAUAAAAAAAAAAAAAUCUAUCGAAAGUACUAUUGAUUUCUCUUUGGGUGUGAAAAUAACUCGGUGUACCUUCAAAAGUGUAAAUAUUCAUCCAGAUGGUAUAUACUGAAGAAUGUGCUCUAUUGAUUGGCUAUGGAAGAUGUUGAUUCAGUGUCUGUUUAUAUCUUUCAAAUUGAUAGGGCUUAGACUUGAUUUGUACAGGCAAUCAUUUUUUUGUGACUGGAUCCAAACAGGAAGUCCUGAAGAAAUUAGUGAAAUAUUUCACGCCUCCUGUUGUGAUAAGGAAUAAAAAAAAUUUGUGUGUGUGUGUUUAUUUCUUAGUGUUAAAUCAGCUGCCUCUCCCUUCCCCUCUACCUGUCACCACCACUAAGAGCCUGCUGUAUAAUGGGAGGAUCGCCGAGGAGGUCAGCUGUCUGCUGUCCCGGCGGGACGACACUCUUGUGUCUCAGCUGGCGCACAGCCUCAACCAGGUGUCCACCGAGCACAUGUGGGUAUCUCACCUCUGCCUCCUUCCUUCAGUACAUCCUCGACAAAUGUGUUUAUCUUACAUGAUAUGUAAAAUAUCUGUGAAUCUGAUUCCAUCUUUGUGGUUUUACAUGCAGAGAGCUGAAGGACAACUUGGGCAGUGAUGACCCAGAAGGAGAUGUGCCUCUACUGCUGCAGACGGUGCUAUCCAGAAACCCCAAUCUCUUCAGGGAGAAAAGUACGCCCACCCGAUAUGGGGUUCAGGGCGGUAAGGAGAAACUACAGAAAUAAAGCUGUUUAGUCUGGGCAUGCUUUUAUUCUGUGAUCUCUGUUAGAGCUCCCUGGAUUAGAAAUCCCAUUUUUUUUUUAUUUUCCAGACUGUAGUUAGUGUUAAUUAGUGAUAAUAUUAAUUAUAAUUUUAGAUGUAUGAAACUGCUAUAAUAUAAUCAUUUUACAUCUUGGCUCUGGGCAUUCACUAUUGUUCAAAAGUUUGGGAUCGGCAAGUUUUUGUCUAAAAAUAGUCUCUUACGCUCACUAAGGCUUGUAUUUAUUUCAUCAAACACAGUUGAAAACAGAUGUUUUGCUUAAUAUUUUUAUGGAAAAUAUGCAUUUUAUUCCAGAUUCUAUGAUGAAUAUAAAGUUCAAAAGAACAUACGUCUUUCUGUCAGUUUUGAUAAAUCCUUGAUCCUUUGAUGCAUCCUUGCUGGAAAAAAAAUACUUUAAGUUACUGACCUGCAAACUUUUGAACAGUAGUGUAUAUAUGAAAGUAUUCUAAGUGUUAUUUAUUUUUUUUACAUUUGGGUCACAAAAUUAUUUUAUUGCUGACUGAGUUUAAUCUAACUUAUUAAAGUUCUAGUCAGAUAGCAUGACAAAUGUGAGCUUGAAUUGCCAUGUCAUUUGAAGUCAACAUUUUAAACCCGUGAUUUGUUGACAGUCUUUGUUUUAUGCUUUGAAGGUUUAAUGCAACAGCCAAUGAUAUCACCAUACAAGAUGCCUCAGAAUUCAAUGCAUGGAAGUCCGGCGUCAAACUACCAGCAAACCACUAUAACUCCGAGCCCUCCCAGGUACUGUUACAGCUUCCUUUUUAUUUGGGUUAGAUAGGUAAGUGGCAAACAGCAUACAAUUUUAACUCCAUCUAAUGUGAUUAAAGGAAUUAAAAUAUGCAGAAAAACCUGGUUCCAUUUCCAGUCUGUAUACUGACCAGUUCUGCCCUUACUCGACAGCCGAUAUGUUCAACCUCAGGCAGGUUCAGGUACCAGGUACAUGCCCCAGCAGAACAGCCCAGUGCCCAGCCCGUAUGCACCACAGAGCCCCGCAGGCUACAUGUACAGCCACCCACCCAGCUACCCUCAGCACCAACAGAUCCAGCAAGGUGAGUCUCCAUUCUCCUCUCUAAAGAGAACCUCAAGAGGAUUGUCACCAUUUUCAGUAUCUGUAGUCUUAAAACACCUCAAGGCUCAAGGAAAAGUGGUUUUAAUAAGAUUUGUUCUUAGUGAAUCAUCUUUUAUCCUCAUCCCUUGCUGAAUGAUAUGUGAAACCAUCCCUGGCUGUUAAAAUCCAAAACUGAAAUGUGUAUUCAAUUUCAUAAUGCAUGUUCUUGUUAUUAUUGAGAAAAAUUAAUCAAUGCAGAUUAUUCCAAAUAAAAAUAAAUCGGUGCAUAACUUGUUUUUUGUAUUGCAGUAUCCGUAUCCAGCCCAAUAGUUCCUGGUGGCAUGAGAAACAUCCAUGACAACAAGGUCUCCUGUCAAGUGUCGGGUAACUCCAACCAUAAUGCGAGGCAUUGCUCCAACGAUGAGUACAUCAGCAUUGUCCAGAGACUUGGAAAUGAUGUGAGUCCUUGCCAACAGAAGUUUUUAUAACCCGACAUAUAUUUCUGCCUCCAAAUUAUUUUUCCUUCAUUCGAUUGUGCCUGGAUCUGUAUUAACAGCACAUUUUUCAACCUGUGUUUUCACAGGACAGUGACCCUGCUAUGAGAAACGCCUCCUUUCCUGUACGCUCCAUCUGCUCCCCUGCUGGAAGUGAAGGGACUCCGAAAGGUAGAUUGAACCUCCAUUUUUGUAUGUAUACCAUUUUUAGAUGUGGUAUGCUUUUAGGCCCCUACUUUAACUCCUACUGGUCUCUUUUCACAAUGUGCUUUGGGUACAUUUGCAGCAGUCUCACCCGUGAGUACCACAGUGCUUACUAGUGCCACAUGUGUACCACAACAAGUAGGUAGCAAUACAGGGUGAGACAUUGCCAGAUUCACUGUUUAAUUUGUGUUAUUGUCACUUUGAACAUACACCCUUUACACAUAUGCUUGUACUUGUCUGUAUAGCAUGAGUAUGCUUGCUGUUCUCCCAAGAAAAUAUAUUCAGAGACAAGCAGCUGUGAGAAAUAAAACUCUCCUCUUGUUAAGUUGUGAUGUAAGGAAUACUGUUUCUCGGUCCAAGCCUCCAAUCUUUUAAUUUGAGAAUAUUGUCUCAACAGACGUUUAUGGGCACUAUUUAUUUAUAGUACACAUUCAAGCUAAGCUGUACAUUACAGUCUCUGGGCUCACGAUUCCUGAAAGAUGAAUUCUAGAUGAAUCAGGUUAACUGAGAUUUCUGUAUGGAGAUAAAGGUUAGGAUCAUUAUUUUCCAGUAGCAUUACAGUACAGGGUGACUGUGUAUUAUGACCCUAUGUUGUUUGCUUUUGGGAACUGAUAGAAUGUUUGGACUCACAAGGUCAGACUUAUCAAAUGGAUAUGGAGGGUGAAUGUGGAUGUGCAAAGAUGCAACCAAUCAAAACUCUGACAAACUGGUUCAUUCCAAAAGCUUAUUAUGUUGCCAUAUUGCUGAUUUACACACAAGUAUGAUUUUUCUGCUUUAUGUUGGUUAAAUUUCAGUUGGAUCUCGGCCGCACUUGAUUCUUCAGUCUCCUCCACCCUACACCUCCCCGAGAGAUGCUGCUUCUGACCUCCUGUUGGACUCACCUGAACGGA